AUUGAACGCUGGCGGUAUGCUUAAGACAUGCAAGUCGAACGGUAACAGACCUUCGGGUGCUGACGAGUGGCGGACGGGUGAGUAACACGUGGGAAUCUACCUUGUAGUGGGGGAUAAGCCAGGGAAACUUGGACUAAUACCGCAUACGCCCCAAGGGGGAAAGGCGCAAGUCGCUAUAAGAUGAGCCCGCGUCUGAUUAGCUAGUUGGUGAGGUAAAGGCUCACCAAGGCGACGAUCAGUAGCUGGUCUGAGAGGAUGGCCAGCCACAUUGGGACUGAGACACGGCCCAGACUCCUACGGGAGGCAGCAGUCGGGAAUAUUGGACAAUGGGGGCAACCCUGAUCCAGCAAUACCGCGUGUGUGAAGAAGGCCUGCGGGUUGUAAAGCACUUUUAGUAGGGAAGAUAAUGACGUUACCUACAGAAAAAGCACCGGCUAACUCCGUGCCAGCAGCCGCGGUAACAC
rnacentral:rRNA from 1 species